ACGUCAACAAUUGCAAUGCUUCUGAGAAGACUCAUGUGUGCCAACUAAGUAUUCGGAUGCCUAUUCCACUUCUGGUCGAAGAAACACGGUUUCCCGGCGAUCUGAAGACAUCAAGAUUCACAAAAACUCAUCUUUCACGGCGAACUAUUUGUCUACCAUCGAUAAGCUACGGGGUUAAGUUGUUUGGAAGUACCGAUAUGAUUCGACGAAAGCACGGGUAUUCAUUUCGUUCUAGUUUUCCUCUUCCCAUCCCGGCUUCGUUACGAAGACGCGAGGCGCGAAGAGAAGAGAAGGUUAAGAGCCAUUGCGAGUGACGGGAACGCCGAUCUCCGUCUGUAUCGAUCGAUCCCCGCCGUAAAUCCCGUAGAUCGGUGAACGCACGGCUCGGAUCCCACCGGCCGGUCGCCGGAGAUGAAUAUCUUCAGGUUAGCGGGCGACAUGACGCAUCUCAUGAGCGUCCUCGUCCUUCUCCUCUAGAUCCACGCCAUCAAAUCAUGCGCCGGCAAGUCCCGGUACGUAUUUCCCUCUCCGUCUUUGGUUUCGCUUGCAGUCCGAUUUGAAUAGUUAGGCUUUUAGGAUUUGGUGCUGGAAGGAGAGAUCUUCGAAGCAUCCUAUUUAUUUUCUUGAUAGAGUGGAUCAGAUCACGUCUGACCGUGGAGUUGGGUCACGAUCUGAAUGCCUGCUGCCUAUUUAUGCCCUGCUAAAGAGUAGAACUAAGACACUAGAAAGCUCUUCUACACCAGUAAAGAAAGUGUUACAGCGUGACCAGAGCCUUGCCAACCCUCCUAAUCAAGUUAGUGAAAUGAUUAUUGAAGCUCUAUCACUAAGUCAUGAUGGUGAUAUCUGAUAAGUGUCGUCUAUUGUUCUGUUAAAUUUUAACUGUAUUAUUAUCAUUUUUUAGUUGAGAUUUUAGGAAACAUGUGGAGUGCAAUUUGGAGCUUAUUUUGCGUCAAGAGUACUAAAAUAAUAUAGCAUGUUAGCUAGUUGUUUAGCUACAAGGACUCAUAACUGGGGACUUCUAGAGGUCUUUUUUGGCGGGUCUUAAAAUUGAGAAAAUAACAAAAGCUAAAACUCUCUCAAAUACUGUCUCUCAGUAAGCUAUAUGUUUAUCAGCGACUAAAAGCUCUCGAGACAUGAUUAUGAUUGGUUAUUAUAUUUGUACAAUAAAAUAUUUAUAAAUUCAGAACUCCCUGUCUUAUUCAUUCUUGUAGAGUUUUUUUUUUCCUUUUUAAAUUUGAGAAGUGCUCGAUAGGAGUGACAUAUCCUAUCAAAAAAUGAAAGGAAAGGAAAGAUGCAAGGAAUAAUGCUUUCUCUUCCAUCCACUGAUGGCUUCAGUAUUAUUUAUCUCUUUUGUUUUUUUAUAUGGUCAUUUGAGCAUUUAACUAUAUUUUAUUUGACUGGCUCGACCAUGUAUGAUCUACAUAUUCAACUACUCAGAUUCUAUCAUGUUCUAAGAAUUCAUCUUGUCUAACAAACCAUAUCACUAUUUGCUAUUGACAUAGUUAAAUCAUAAAUGAGAUGCAAUAAGGAUGAACUGAUAUAAAAUUUUGCUUGCCAUUCUUGUAGCUUUGUCAUAUGGCUCACAAUAGCUAGUCCCUGAUUUGCUUCACCUCCUUCAUGUUUUUAAUACAUGAUAUCUCUUGAUGCAUAUAUGUUCAAACAAACCAUGAAGUUUUAUACCUCUCAUCAUCAGAGCCAACAAGAGGCAUUCCUCUGAAGACACAAGAACUUUAUGCCCUUGUUUUUGUCACUCGAUACUUGGAUCUUGUAUGGAGAUUCAUGUCAAUGGCAUAAGAUUUUGGAUCUUGGAUCUUGAUCCUUUUUUUUUGGAAAAAAAAACUCUUUCCACUACAUAAAGUUGGUUUUAUUGUAUGUGUAUAACUUGACAUAGUUCAUGUCAUUUUCUCACAGGCAUUUCUCUGAAGACACAAGAGCUUUAUGCCCUUGUUUUUGCCACUCGAUACUUGGAUAUUUUUACUGAUUUUGUCUCAGUCUAUAAUACGACGAUGAAACUUAUUUUCUUGGGGAGCUUGUUCUCAAUUGUCUGGUACAUGAGAUGACACAAGUUGUCCGUAGAUCUUAUGACAAGGACCAAUACACUUUUCGUCACUUCGUUCUUGCAUUACCAUGCCUAGUUCUGGCUUUAGUUAUAAAUGAAAAGUUCACGUUUAAGGAGGUUAUGUGAACAUUCUCCCUAUAUUUGGAAGCAGUUGCAAUACUUCCUCAGCUGGUAUUGUUACAAAGGACAAAAAAUAUAGUCAACUUGACUGUUCAAUAUGUUUUCUUCUAGGAGCAUACAGAGCAUUUGACAUCCUAAACUGGAUUUACCGCUACUUCACUGAGCCUCACUGUGUUCAUUGGAUAACAUGGAUACCUGGAUUGGCACAGACAUUGCUUUAUGCGGAUUUCUUCUACUACUACUUAAAUAGUUGGAAGAACAAUGUCAAGCUCAAGCUACCAGCAUGAUUUGGUCUUAUUUCAAGGUCAACCAACCGUGGUAGGAUCUAGCCAUAAUGUGUGAGGAGUUACUCUUCUGGAGGCUUACUCCUGUGAAUUCCAUUCUCUUGUUUGAGUCCUUCAAGUUGCCCUAUCGUUUUAACAUGUCAGAGUCAUUUUUUAGCAGGAGUCAGAUAUAAGAUUCGUUAUCUGUUCUGAGCUGAGAUGACAAACUUGGCAAAAGUUUCCAUGUGCUAUGCGUGUUCUUGUAUUGAAAAAAAAAAAAAAAAUUCAAUUUCUGUAAUAUCCUCUCUUUCCAUAUUUCAAGACAGUAUCAAAUCUUAUAUCUGCUUGUUUUUGUU